rnacentral:rRNA from 1 species
AACGAACGCUGGCGGCAUGCCUAACACAUGCAAGUCGAACGAGACCUUCGGGUCUAGUGGCGCACGGGUGCGUAACGCGUGGGAACCUGCCCUUAGGUUCGGAAUAACUCCCCGAAAGGGGUGCUAAUACCGGAUAAUGUCUUCGGACCAAAGAUUUAUCGCCUUUGGAUGGGCCCGCGUUGGAUUAGCUAGUUGGUAGGGUAAAAGCCUACCAAGGCGACGAUCCAUAGCUGGUCUGAGAGGAUGAUCAGCCACACUGGGACUGAGACACGGCCCAGACUACUACGGGAGGCAGCAGUGGGGAAUAUUGGAAAAUGGGCGAAAGCAUGAUCCAGCAAUGCCGCGUGAGUGAUGAAGGCCUUAGGGUUGUAAAGCUCUUUUACCCGGGAUGAUAAUGACAGUACCGGGAGAAUAAGCUCCGGCUAACUCCGUG